CUUAUCAUCUUCUAGCUCUGAAAGAUGAUGCAGAAUUUUUUGUUUCAGAAGAACUGACUAUGUUGUGCGGCCCAGCACAGGGGAGGAGAAACGAGUUUUUCAGGAGCAGGAACGUUAUAGGUACAGUCAACCCCAUAAGGCAUUCACUUUUCGCAUGCAUGGCUUUGAGUCUGUGGUGGGGCCAGUAAAGGGCGUGUUUGACAAGGAGACCUCCCUCAACAAGGCUCGAGAGCAUUCACUGCUGCGCUCUGAUCGGCCUGCCUAUGUCACCAUCCUGUCUCUUGUUCGGGAUGCUGCUGCUAGGCUACCUAAUGGAGAAGGCACUCGGGCAGAGAUCUGUGAACUCCUCAAAGAUUCCCAGUUCCUUGCAUCAGAUGU